AUUGAACGCUGGCGGCAUGCCUUACACAUGCAAGUCGAACGGUAGCAGGUCUUCGGAUGCUGACGAGUGGCGAACGGGUGAGUAAUACAUCGGAACGUGCCCGAGAGUGGGGGAUAACGAGGCGAACGCUUUGCUAAUACCGCAUACGAUCUCAGGAUGAAAGCAGGGGACCGCAAGGCCUUGCGCUCACGGAGCGGCCGAUGGCCGAUUAGGUAGUUGGUGGGAUAAAAGCUUACCAAGCCGACGAUCUGUAGCUGGUCUGAGAGGACGACCAGCCACACUGGGACUGAGACACGGCCCAGACUCCUACGGGAGGCAGCAGUGGGGAAUUUUGGACAAUGGGCGCAAGCCUGAUCCAGCCAUGCCGCGUGCAGGAUGAAGGCCUUCGGGUUGUAAACUGCUUUUGUACGGAACGAAAAGACUCUGGUUAAUACCUGGGGUCCAUGACGGUACCGUAAGAAUAAGCACCGGCUAACUACGUGCCAGCCGCCGCAGUAACAC
rnacentral:rRNA from 1 species